UACGUAGGGACCGAGCGUUGUCCGGAAUCAUUGGGCGUAAAGAGCGUGUAGGCGGCUAUUUAAGUCCUGCGUGAAAUCCUGCGGCUCAACCGCAGACGGUCGUGGGAAACUGGAUGGCUAGAGUGCGGGAGAGGAGAGUGGAAUUCCCGGUGUAGCGGUGAAAUGCGCAGAUAUCGGGAAGAACACCCGUGGCGAAGGCGGCUCUCUGGAACGCAACUGACGCUGAGACGCGAAAGCGUGGGGGAGCAAACAGG
rnacentral:rRNA from 1 species